rnacentral:misc_RNA from 1 species
UUAAGUUCAGCGGGUAUCCCUACCUGAUCCGAGGUCAAACUUUGUUAUGGAGGGUUUCACGGCCGGCACCGCCUGGGCUCAGGAGCGGGUUUGGUACUACGCUCAGAGUCCACGGCGCUCCGCCACUACGAUUCGGGGCUCUCGGUGCAGCACCGAGACGCCCCAACAGCAAGCCGGCGCUUGAGGUUUGAAAUGACGCU